CUUUGUCCAGUUUCUUUAAAACACAUGAUCAUUUUAGAAAUUAUUUCUAUUUUUUCAGGAAUUUAGUUCACAGUUAUUGUCAACAACUGAGACCUGUCAAAUACUACUAAAUCUAAAGGAAUUCUUGAUGUGAGCCUUCACCCUUUCCUAAUCCACUGCGGAGCCCUGGGAUAAGCCGUUUGAACACUCUGAUCAUCAUUUUGUUUUACAUUCUGGAGUUUUUGGUAAGCAUUAUAUAAGGAAAGGU
rnacentral:lncRNA from 1 species